GUAGGUUUCGAGUCAGCCACCCCGGCAAUCGAUAGUUUCGCGGUCCGUUUUGUCAAUCUGCCAAUAUCCGGUGAACGUUUCACUUUCGUGGCUCUGAUUUAUUUUAUACAAAAUACAUAUUAUAUUUAUUAUGUGCAGUUUGUCAGCACCUCGCCGAACCAGCUAGUUUCAGCAACUAGCGCUGACCAUUUGAGGGGUGUGAAAACCGAGAGUAAUAAAGCCUCACAUCUUCAGCUAACAAGAUGUGACAAAUUUUUAUCGCAUACUCAACUCGUUCGUAGCCGCAGAAAAGAGCUGUCAACACAACAGACCGAAUUUGCUUUUCAUGGGGGGACCCCAAAGUGUGUCUUCUUUUUCCCCGGGGCUUGUGAUCUUUGACAUCCCGAAAACAAGCGCAGCCACAACGAGCACUCACAUACCUGGUGUACCUAGCUGCAACAAAAGCCCUGCCGGCCAAUAGUAAAAAUAUGAGCAAAUAAUGAGCUUAGAAAAUUUUACGAUCCAGCCAUCGGGCAGUGACAAAACUGAGAGAAAAGCGGGAUAUGGAAAAGCCGGGAAAAUACACUGCAAACACAAAGCAUUCUAAUCUAUAAAAAUGAAAAUAUAUUAAACUAACAUCAUUUUGUUAUAUAUAAAAACCAAUGCAAACUUUGAAAAUAGAAAGAAUUUAGUAUAACUUA